UACAGAGGGGGCAAGCGUUGUUCGGAAUUACUGGGCGUAAAGGGCGCGUAGGCGGCCAACUAAGUCAGACGUGAAAUCCCUCAGCUUAACUGGGGAACUGCGUCUGAUACUGGAUGGCUUGGAUUCGGGAGAGGAAUGCGGAAUUCCAGGUGUAGCGGUGAAAUGCGUAGAUAUCUGGAGGAACACCGGUGGCGAAGGCGGCAUUCUGGACCGACAUUGACGCUGAGGAGCGAAAGCCAGGGGAGCAAACGGG
rnacentral:rRNA from 1 species